rnacentral:rRNA from 1 species
GUGUCAGCCGCGGUAAUACCGGCAGCCCGAGUGAUGGCCGAUCUUAUUGGGCCUAAAGCGUCCGUAGCUGGCCGCACAAGUCCAUCGGAAAAUCCACCCGCCCAACGGGUGGGCGUCCGGUGGAAACUGUGUGGCUUGGGACCGGAAGGCGCGACGGGUACGUCCGGGGUAGGAGUGAAAUCCUGUAAUCCUGGACGGACCGCCGAUGGCGAAAGCACGUCGCGAGGACGGAUCCGACAGUGAGGGACGAAAGCCAGGGUCUCGAACCGGAUUAGAAACCCGCGUAGUCC